GAUGAACGCUGGCGGCGUGCCUAAUACAUGCAAGUCGAGCGAAGAAAGUUGGCACUUGCACCGAUUCGGUGAGCGGCGAACGGGUGAGUAACACGUGGGUAACCUGCCUUUGAGCCUGGGAUAACUUCUGGAAACCAAAGCUAAUACCGGAUAAUAACUUUAAACACAUGGUUCAAGAUUGAAAGAUGCAUUUGCUGUACCUAAUUAUGAUCUCCCGUUGGAUUAGCUAGGUGGGUAGGUAAAGGCCCACCAAGGCGAAGAUUCAUAGCCGAACUGAGAGGAUGAUCAGCCACACUGGGACUGAGACACGGUCCAGACUCCUACGGGAGGCAGCAGUGGGGAAUAUUGGGCAAUGGGCGAAAGCCUGACCGAGCAACGCCGCGUGAGUGAAGAAGGUUUUCGGAUCGUAAAACUCUGUUAGUAGAGAAGAACGGCAGUGAGAGUAGAAAUCGCAGCAAUGAACGGUAACAACCCAGAAGCGCACGCUAAACUACUG
rnacentral:rRNA from 1 species